GGCGGGGUAGCUCAGGGGUAGAGCAAGCGGCUCAUAAUCGCUGUGUCGCGGGUUCGAUUCCCGCUCCCGCUACCAAUU
rnacentral:tRNA from 1 species